GUUUUAUUGGCGAAAUUUCUUUUAUAUAUUGCCUCGUUACCUCAUUAUCAUCCGCUUCCGGUUGAUUUCCAUUCAAUGAUUGUUUCACAAUGUCAAUACUUCAUUUUAAAUUGAUUGCUUUUUAUUUUGGCUGGAUCAUCAUUCUCCCCCUGCAAAAUUUGCAUAAAAGGGUAUGCCCUAAAAAAUAAUUUUACAAAAUAUAUGUAUGUAUGUAUGAUUUUGAUUAAAAUGGCUUUGUUAUUGUUGUUUUACUCAUAUUCGCUGUAAAUAUAAAGAUUGAUACGUUCUAA
rnacentral:sRNA from 1 species